rnacentral:rRNA from 1 species
AUUGAACGCUGGCGGCAGGCCUAACACAUGCAAGUCGAGCGGUAGCACAGAGAGCUUGCUCUCGGGUGACGAGCGGCGGACGGGUGAGUAAUGUCUGGGAAACUGCCUGAUGGAGGGGGAUAACUACUGGAAACGGUAGCUAAUACCGCAUAAUGUCGCAAGACCAAAGUGGGGGACCUUCGGGCCUCAUGCCAUCAGAUGUGCCCAGAUGGGAUUAGCUAGUAGGUGGGGUAACGGCUCACCUAGGCGACGAUCCCUAGCUGGUCUGAGAGGAUGACCAGCCACACUGGAACUGAGACACGGUCCAGACUCCUACGGGAGGCAGCAGUGGGGAAUAUUGCACAAUGGGCGCAAGCCUGAUGCAGCCAUGCCGCGUGUGUGAAGAAGGCCUUCGGGUUGUAAAGCACUUUCAGCGGGGAGGAAGGCGGUGAGGUUAAUAACCUCACCGAUUGACGUUACCCGCAGAAGAAGCACCGGCUAACUCCGUGCCAGCAGCCGCGGUAAUACGGAGGGUGCAAGCGUUAAUCGGAAUUACUGGGCGUAAAGCGCACGCAGGCGGUCUGUCAAGUCGGAUGUGAAAUCCCCGGGCUCAACCUGGGAACUGCAUUCGAAACUGGCAGGCUAGAGUCUUGUAGAGGGGGGUAGAAUUCCAGGUGUAGCGGUGAAAUGCGUAGAGAUCUGGAGGAAUACCGGUGGCGAAGGCGGCCCCCUGGACAAAGACUGACGCUCAGGUGCGAAAGCGUGGGGAGCAAACAGGAUUAGAUACCCUGGUAGUCCACGCCGUAAACGAUGUCGAUUUGGAGGUUGUGCCCUUGAGGCGUGGCUUCCGGAGCUAACGCGUUAAAUCGACCGCCUGGGGAGUACGGCCGCAAGGUUAAAACUCAAAUGAAUUGACGGGGGCCCGCACAAGCGGUGGAGCAUGUGGUUUAAUUCGAUGCAACGCGAAGAACCUUACCUGGUCUUGACAUCCGCAGAACUUUCCAGAGAUGGAUUGGUGCCUUCGGGAACUGUGAGACAGGUGCUGCAUGGCUGUCGUCAGCUCGUGUUGUGAAAUGUUGGGUUAAGUCCCGCAACGAGCGCAACCCUUAUCCUUUGUUGCCAGCGGUCCGGCCGGGAACUCAAAGGAGACUGCCAGUGAUAAACUGGAGGAAGGUGGGGAUGACGUCAAGUCAUCAUGGCCCUUACGACCAGGGCUACACACGUGCUACAAUGGCAUAUACAAAGAGAAGCGACCUCGCGAGAGCAAGCGGACCUCAUAAAGUAUGUCGUAGUCCGGAUUGGAGUCUGCAACUCGACUCCAUGAAGUCGGAAUCGCUAGUAAUCGUAGAUCAGAAUGCUACGGUGAAUACGUUCCCGGGCCUUGUACACACCGCCCGUCACACCAUGGGAGUGGGUUGCAAAAGAAGUAGGUAGCUUAACCUUCGGGAGGGCGCUUACCACUUUGUGAUU